rnacentral:rRNA from 1 species
AUGGAACUAGACAAAUUCCUCAUGAAUGGUGAGUACACCUUCGUCGGAUUCGCCAUUGAAGCAGACAAAAGCAAGCUGAAGCUAUCUGGUUUGGAGAUCAACUCCGACAACUACAUUGAUAUUCAGGUGGAAUGGAGAGACCCAUACAAUAAAAAGAAGUUUGACUCUUUGGCUGAUGUUGCCGGCAGGAUGAUAGACUUUCCCUACCAUGACAUGAAGAAAAAAAUUAACCGCAAGGAGGACCAUAUUCUAUGGGGAUUUUUCCCACUGCCAGAAAAGCUUAUUAAGUAUGCAGCAAUAGAUGCAUUCGCAACAUAUGAGUCAUGGAGAAUCAUCUAUGAUGUCAUCAUGGGACUGGACAGGGCAAAAAGAGACAAAGAAGCAAAGCAGAAGAAGAACAAGGAUGUAAUCCAAUACAGCAACUAG